rnacentral:lncRNA from 12 species
CCCCCCCCCCCCCCCCCCCCCCCCCCCCCCCCCCCCCCCCCCCCCCCCCCCCCCCCCCCCCCCCGAUGGAUCCAGGGCGAUCCCAAAGCCCCGAAUUCGCUCAGAUCUCCCCGCAGCACCUCACAGCGCCCGGGACCACCCCGGAUCCAUCCUAAACCCAUCCGGGACAGUCCCAGAUCCCUCCAGGGCGAUCCCAAACCCCUCCAGGACGAUCCCAGAUCCCUCCAGGACGAUCCCAAACUCCCCAGAUCGCUCAGAUCUCCCCGUGCUGUUCUGGGAGCCUGGGGAACCGCCCUGGAUCCGUGCAGGACGGUCUCAGAUCCUCCAGGGCGAUCCCAGAUUGAUCCAGGAUGAUCCCAAACCCCUCCAGGACGAUCCCAGAUCCCUCCAGGACGAUCCCAAACUCCCCAGAUCGCUCAGAUCUCCCUGUGCUGUUCUGGGAUCCUGGUGAACCGCCCUGGAUCCAUCCAGGACAAUCCCAAAACCCCGAAUUCGCUCAGAUCUCUCCGUGCCGUGCUGGGAGCCUGGGGAACCGCCCUGGAUCCGCGCAGGAUGAUCCCAAAUUCCACCAGGACGAUCCCAGAUGGAUCCAGGAUGACCCCAAAGUCCCCGGAUCGCUCAGAUCUCCCUGUGCUGUUCAGGGAACCGCCCUGGAUCUGUGCAGGACGAUCUCAGAUCCACCAAGACGAUCCCAAACCCAUCCAGGACGAUCUCAGAUCCUCCAGGACGAUCCCGGAUGGAUCCAGGGUGAUCCCAAAGCCCAGAAUUCGCUCAGAUCUCCCCGUGGCACCUCACAGCGCCCGGGACCGCCGGAACCGCCCUGGGUCUGUGCAGGACGAUCUCAGAUCCACCAAGACAAUCCCAAACCCAUCCAGGACGAUCCCAGAUCCCUCCAGGACGAUCCCGGAUGGAUCCAGGGCGAUCCCAAACUCCCCGGAUCGCUCAGAUCUCCCCGUGGCGCGCCUGGUACCGCGCCAGCAGCGCCCGGAACCGCCCUGGAUCUGUGCAGGACAAUCUCAGAUCCACCAAGACGAUCCCAAACCCAUCCAGGACGAUCUCAGAUGCUCCAGGACGACCCCGGAUCGAUCCAGGGCGAUCCCAAAGCCCCAGAUCACUCAGAUCUCCCCGUGGCGCGCCUGGUACCGCGGGAACCGCCCUGGAUCCGUGCAGGACGAUCUCAGAUCCUCCAGGACGAUCCCGGAUGGAUCCAGGGCGAUCCCAAACUCCCCGGAUCGCUCAGAUCUCCCCGUGGCGCGCCUGGUACCGC